UACAGAGGUCUCAAGCGUUGUUCGGAUUCAUUGGGCGUAAAGGGCGCGUAGGCGGCCUGUGCAAGUCAGUUGUGAAAUCUCCGAGCUUAACUCGGAACGGUCAACUGAUACUGCUCGGCUAGAGUGCGGAAGGGGCAACUGGAAUUCUUGGUGUAGCGGUGAAAUGCGUAGAUAUCAAGAGGAACACCUGCGGCGAAGGCGGGUUGCUGGGCCGACACUGACGCUGAUGCGCGAAAGCUAGGGGAGCGAACGGG
rnacentral:rRNA from 1 species